rnacentral:lncRNA from 1 species
GGGGACCUGGGGGCACAGAGCUUGGCAAAAACGUAGAAGGGAACAGGUGCAAGAGGCUGAACUGGGUGAGAAUCAUCUACCAGAGCCACGUAGAAGUGCCUGGGCUCCUCACCAGGGAAAGAGGGGAAGGGGACAUCCCCGAUUCACCCAUGAGUGUGCACAUCUUCCCUGCAUUGGACAGAAAGCCCCCCGUGGGGAUGAGUGGGAAAGGGAUCAAAGUGAAUCUCCCAAGAUCAAGGUCAGCUCUACAGCUUUGCUGCGGAGAGAACUGGAGUGAGCUAUUCAGCCACUCUGAGCCUUGGUCUCCUCAUCUGUAAAACAGAGCUCGCAUCUUUCAAGUUGCUGGGUCAUUGGCAGGAUUAUAGCAGACAAAUCACACGAAGCAUUGAGCAGAGGGCCUGGCGUGGCUGCUGUGAGUGUCACAACGACGAUAUUGUCCCAUGAUGAGCAAGUUUUGGGGCUUGCACAGUUGCUGAUUGGUUGUACCCCCACACCCAACCAGGAAAGGAUAGGAUAGCAACUCAUCCAAAUUCAUUCUGAGGCUAAGUGGCUGUCAAGUCCUCUGGAUCAAACAAACUGAGGGUUAUGUUCCACUCCAGCUCACAUCUAAGGUUUCACAUUUGUCUGCCUGUCCCAGGAAGAAGUUCCAAAGAAUUACCUGUUGCUGACCAUACUUGCAAUGAUGCCAAAGAGAAUAUAGUAAAAAUGCACACAUUUGAAAACAAUAGUAGUACCCCGUUUCAUGGGCUAUUGUGCAGGUGAAAUGAAUCAAAACUUACAAAGAACCUGGAGCCAAACAGUGGGUGCAUGUGUUUGGAAGGAGUUUUCUUUGGGAUUGGGCUGCCAUCAUGAAACAAAAUGGUGGUCAAUAUAUUUCCAACAGGGAGAUGUCUGCUUCUUCACAGGUACACUGGCAGAGGGGGGCCCCUGCUUACCUUCAGAGUCCAGGAUGCUACUCUGGUUCCUGGUCACAGGAUGUGCAUCUCCAGCCUGGGAGGACCUGUCUGUGCAUCUUUAUCCCACACCCUUGACCUCUGCUGUCCCUGAAGUCCCUGCCACAGUACAGAAGGAAGAGCAAGCAGUGAAGUCAGGGAGCAGCUCAGGACUCUGAGGGAGACUAGGAGACCAGGAAGACUUAGAGUAGGAAUGUGACAUGACCCACCUAGAUCUUAACAGGCCGCUGUGCGGAGACUAGACUUUGAGGUGACAAAGGCAGGAGUGACCGCAAUGAUCCAGGCAAGAAAUGAGAAUGACUUGGACCAGGGUGGGCACCAUAGAAGUGGGGCAAAGUGGGAUGGUUCUGGAUGAACUGUGAUGGUUACCAACAGGAUUUGUCAAGAGUUUGGAGGUGGGGUUUGAAAAAAAAAUAGAUUCAGGGUGACACCAAGGUUUGCACUGAGACACGAAUAGAUUAGAGUCACCAUCCACAGAGAUGGGAAGGCCGGAAGGAGGAAAUUGGAGGGAACUAGAGCUGAGAGGGGCCACUGGGCCCACCAGGAGCCCACUGAGAGCAUGUUUCAGGAGACAGAGAGAGGAGUAAAGGGUAGACGAGUGGCGAUCCAAGGACCACCCAUUGACCACCACCCAUUUGAGGGCUGCGUGGCAGAGUCCCAUCCAGAAGGUCAGGGCCUCCAUUCCCCCAAAGGUCCACGCCUAUCAGCACAUUUCUCAAGAGAGAGAGAAAAACAAAACACACACACACACACACACACGUUCGGGGAGGAGAUCGGAGUCGUCUCCCUCUCUCCUCCAGCAGAUAACAUGGCCCUGGACAUGGGCUCAGAAAGAAGCAGUUGACACCUGGCCUUGAAGCGUCCUCCCUGAGGAGCCAGCCCUCCUGUCUCCGGCACAGAACCUCUCAGCCCUGGUCCUAUUUGGUUAUUCUACACGAAGGUUGGUUCUCCCAGGAAAAAGUCAGAAAUUCCUCUCCCUUCAGAAAUAAAAUAUAUACGCCUGCCCGUGGCCUCGCCUCCCUCUUUCUACAUUCUCAGCGUGAGGCUGGGCCUUUAUAAUUCAUCAAAAAGGCCACACGUAAUGAGCUCCGCUCUUACUUGGCAGCCAGACUGCCAGCUCACCUUUUAAGAAGCCUACUCCCUGGUCCGGGACCCUCAGAUCUUCUGGUCCCUGAGGCUGGGGAUGAUUCACUUGUGAGUCAGGCCUGGGGCUGAGCCAGUCCUGCCCUCUGAAGCCCCUCCCCCUCCCGAGGACCAGCCGGGCAGGGAGGGGCCGUGCAGGGAGCUCCCAUUCAUUCAUUCAUUCACCGAACAAGCUCUCCUUAAGUGCCUGCUGUGUCCUGGGCAGUGGAAGUCCAUGUGGACACUGUCUUACAUAAUCUCCCUGACAAUGUCACGAGAAAGAUAUCCACAUGUCCAUUUUGCAGAUGUCGAAACUAAGGUACCAAGAACUUUCACAGGCUGUCCAAGUUCCCUUGACUGGUGUGUAGUACAGAAUGAAUCUUGUCCAAAGAGAGGUAUGGCUUUUGCCAUCUGCUCUAAGUCCUUUGAAUGUCCUCCCUGGAGACCUAAGAGUGUCUUUGUUUACCUGGGGACUUUGGGCCUUGCCAAAUAGUUUAACAGUGGGAUUUAGGGUGGGGGGCUUUGGACCAUAAAAAAUGAACUUGACCUCUAGAAAGAAUGGAGGCUCUCAGCCUCAUGGCCUGUCCACCAUGUCUAUGGGAUCCAACUCCCAUAAAAACUCUGAACACCAAGGCUGGGGUGAGCUUCCCUGGGUGGCAGUAUCCCCUGUACCUUGUCACACAUCAUUGCUAGGAGAUGGUAGCACCGCCCCUGACUCCAAUGGGAAGGGACAGCCAGAAUCUCCACGUGUGGAGCCCACCUGGACUCUGCCCCACG